AUGGGGAAUAUUGCACAAUGGGCGCAAGCCUGAUGCAGCCAUGCCGCGUGUAUGAAGAAGGCCUUCGGGUUGUAAAGUACUUUCAGCGGGGAGGAAGGUGUUGUGGUUAAUAACCGCAGCAAUUGACGUUACCCGCAGAAGAAGCACCGGCUAACUCCGUGCCAGCAGCCGCGGUAAUACGGAGGGUGCAAGCGUUAAUCGGAAUUACUGGGCGUAAAGCGCACGCAGGCGGUCUGUCUAGUCGGAUGUGAAAUCCCCGGGCUCAACCUGGGAACUGCAUUCGAAACUGGCAGGCUAGAGUCUUGUAGAGGGGGGUAGAAUUCCAGGUGUAGCGGUGAAAUGCGUAGAGAUCUGGAGGAAUACCGGUGGCGAAGGCGGCCCCCUGGACAAAGACUGACGCUCAGGUGCGAAAGCGUGGGGAGCAAACAGGAUUAGAAACCCGUGUAGUCC
rnacentral:rRNA from 1 species